AAAAAAGUAAUUUAACCAGCAUGUAGGUCAGCGAUCUAGAAACUGUAAUAUUGCUUUUAUGUUCGGCCCCAUCUGCCGUAUCUCCUAUGGCGGUGGCGUCUUCCUCCCAUUCUCUCCCUCGCUGCCUCUCUUCUCACUCUCUCUGUUCCCAUUCUCUCAAUUGCAUUUAGGCUAAUGUAGCGUUAUAUGGACCAAACACCAGGUCUGUUUCAGUGCAAGUCUGUAAAUGUGUACUGCACGUUAGCCUCUGCUCUUCAUUCAAAGGUCAGUUUGUGAGGGUUAAGUCAUCUUUGUCACAUGCGACCUGAGCUGGCAUUCUGGAUGUGUCUGUCUGAGUGUGUGUGUGUGUGUGUGUGUGUGUGUAUGUCACCAGUCUGAGAUGAGAUCUUCAGAGCGGAGAAAGAAGCAAUGCCAGAGGAACACAGAAGAUGUCCAGCUGAUGAGCUGAACUUGACCUCAGCUUGAAAUGCCAGCCACUGUGUGCCGUCCCAGCUUGGCAUCGAUUCAGGCCUCCCAGCUGAGAUCCCAGCUUUCUUUGUGGAGGCUGAGCUGCAUUUCCUCUGGGCUCACAGAGGUUGCUGUUAUUUCUGUUAGCAUAGAGUGAUCGAGGUCAGUGUUGUCCUGGGAGGAAGAAGACAUCACACUGAUAUUAAAAGCACCCGUCAAAUUGCAUUGAAUCAGAGGGAACAGAGCCUUGCUCUAGUGAGAGGACACAAACAGGACCACUGAGCUGGGUUUCGGGAGCUUCACAGGAAAUUGCCUUUUUGGGGAUGGGUGUGAUUGUUUUGAGUGUAUGACGGUAUUUAAUAUAACAUGCUCAGCUUUUUCCAUUAAAAAGACACUGUGUUGGAG
rnacentral:lncRNA from 1 species